rnacentral:rRNA from 1 species
CAGGCUUAACACAUGCAAGUCGCCUUGCAGCAUGGUCUUAGCUUGCUAAGGCCGAUGGCGACCGGCGCACGGGUGAGUAACACGUAUCCAACCUGCCGUCUACUCUUGGACAGCCUUCUGAAAGGAAGAUUAAUACAAGAUGGCAUCAUGAGUUCACAUGUUCACAUGAUUAAAGGUAUUCCGGUAGACGAUGGGGAUGCGUUCCAUUAGAUAGUAGGCGGGGUAACGGCCCACCUAGUCUUCGAUGGAUAGGGGUUCUGAGAGGAAGGUCCCCCGCAUUGGAACUGAGACACGGUCCAAACUCCUACGGGAGGCAGCAGUGAGGAAUAUUGGUCAAUGGGCGAGAGCCUGAACCAGCCAAGUAGCGUGAAGGAUAACUGCCCUAUGGGUUGUAAACUUCUUUUAUAAAGGAAUAAAGUCGGGUAUGUAUACCCGUUUGCAUGUACUUUAUGAAUAAGGAUCGGCUAACUCCGUGCCAGCAGCCGCGGUAAUACGGAGGAUCCGAGCGUUAUCCGGAUUUAUUGGGUUUAAAGGGAGCGUAGAUGGAUGUUUAAGUCAGUUGUGAAAGUUUGCGGCUCAACCGUAAAAUUGCAGUUGAUACCGGAUAUCUUGAGUGCAGUUGAGGCAGGCGGAAUUCGUGGUGUAGCGGUGAAAUGCUUA